CUUGUCCCUAGAGGUAUUGCAGGUGUUUUUCUGUGUGUCACGUGGACAUUAGGAGGUGGCACAGAGGAGAGACGCGUUGUCUAAACGCGGUGUUCUGACCUAUGAACAUAUGAAUAAUUAGUAGCCCAACAUU